rnacentral:rRNA from 2 species
UACCUGCAAGUCGAGCGGAUGAGUGGAGCUUGCUCCAUGAUUCAGCGGCGGACGGGUGAGUAAUGCCUAGGAAUCUGCCUGGUAGUGGGGGACAACGUUUCGAAAGGAACGCUAAUACCGCAUACGUCCUACGGGAGAAAGUGGGGGAUCUUCGGACCUCACGCUAUCAGAUGAGCCUAGGUCGGAUUAGCUAGUUGGUGAGGUAAAGGCUCACCAAGGCGACGAUCCGUAACUGGUCUGAGAGGAUGAUCAGUCACACUGGAACUGAGACACGGUCCAGACUCCUACGGGAGGCAGCAGUGGGGAAUAUUGGACAAUGGGCGAAAGCCUGAUCCAGCCAUGCCGCGUGUGUGAAGAAGGUCUUCGGAUUGUAAGCACUUUAAGUUGGGAGGAAGGGCAGUAAGUU